rnacentral:rRNA from 1 species
UACGGGGGGGGGCAAGCGUUGUUCGGAAUUACUGGGCGUAAAGGGCUCGUAGGCGGCCAACUAAGUCAUACGUGAAAUCCCCCGGCUUAACCGGGGAACUGCGUCUGAUACUGGAUGGCUUGAGUUCGGGAGAGGGAUGCGGAAUUCCAGGUGUAGCGGUGAAAUGCGUAGAGAUGUGGAGGAACACCAGUGGCGAAGGCGACUUUCUGGUCUGUAACUGACGCUGAGGCGCGAAAGCGUGGGGAGCAAACAGG